rnacentral:rRNA from 1 species
UACAGAGGUCCCAAGCGUUGUUCGGAUUCACUGGGCGUAAAGGGUGCGUAGGCGGUCGGGUAAGUCUGAUGUGAAAUCUCACAGCUUAACUGUGAAACUGCAUUGGAUACUAUCCGGCUCGAGGAAUGGAGGGGAGACUGGAAUACUUGGUGCAGCAGUGAAAUGCGUAGAUAUCAAGUGGAACACCAGUGGCGAAGGCGAGUCUCUGGACAUUUCCUGACGCUGAGGCACGAAAGCCAGGGGAGCAAACGGG